CCGAAGACGGGGAGACCCGCGCCCUCCCCGAGGCCCCCAGCGGACCGCCCGACGGCGGCUCGGGCCCCGGCCGCGGGCGCCCCCUCUCCAGCGUCUCUGCGCGCCCGGCUGUGCUGCACCGGCCCGGGCGCCUGCUGAGUGCCGAGGGCCCCUGAGCGCCCUUUCCCGAAGAGCCAAGCCGCUUCGGAGCGUGCGGCCGUGUGUGUGUGCGAUUUCCCCGCCCCACGUCCCCCCGCCCCCGCCUCUGGUCCCCGGAGGAGAGCUUGGCGCCGGGGUGCGGCCGCGCCCCAGCAGAUGCUCGCCCAGAAGCGGCGAGCGGCCGCUGUCCCUUGUGUGUAACAUAGACCGCGGGAACUGCGGGGGGGCGGGGGGCUGGGGAGGACGGGGUGUUCUAUAAAUAUAGAUAUAAUUUUAUUUUCGAAGGUAGGAUGGUGUUAUUUAAUGGUGGCGGUGGGUGGAGUGACAGGGCGCUAGAACAGCUCCGGCCCACCCUGGGGCGGGCGCCCAUCCAAGCGUGAACAGGACUUGGCCAGCUUUCCAACCCCUGGGAAAACCUUUGCGACUGCCGUGGGGCUGCGAGGACACAGCUUCCAGACUCCGGUCUCCUGCGGGCCAGCCCCGGGCGCACCCCUCACCAGCCCUGGGCCGGAGGAGGGAGAGAGUGCUUUGGGUCUUUCUUUUGCCAUAAGCGAACUUUGUGCCUGUCAUACAAGUGGAAAUCGUUCAGUCCAAGAAACUGAUGUUAUUUGAUUUAUUUAAAAGCUAAAACUUGUUCGGGUUUUUUUUUUUUUUUUUUGGAAAGAAUUCUUUGCACAAUUGUUUUAUUGUUUGACACUUAAUGCACUUGUCAUUUGCAUAAGAAAGUAGCAUUCUGACCACCCCUGUACGCUGUAACCUCAUCUACUUCUGGUGUUUUGUUUGUUUUGUUUUUUUUUUAAAGAUGAUGACUUUUAAAAAAACAAAGAGAAAAAAGAAACCACUAAUUUUUGUUUUCUAGAAAAAGUGGCAACACUGUUUUGCGAUUUUAUUUGUGCAGGUAUGCGCACUAUUUUGAUAAAGGGCAGUAACAAGUAUUGGGACCUAUUUAACUCCCCCUUCCUUUUUUUUUUUUUUUUCUUCACAAGGCAGUCUCAAAAGCUAUGUGAAAUUUUCUCUGCAUCUCUGUACAGAGAAUGAACCUGCCCCUAGCCUCUCCUUUCUUACCCUCCCUUCCCCACCCAGUGGUACUUCUACUAAAUUGUUGUCUUGUUUUUUUAUUUUUUAAAUAAACUGACAAAUGACAAAGUGGUGAGCUUAUGAUGUUUACAUAAAAGUUCUAUAAGCUGUGUAUACAGUUUUUUAUGUAAAAUAUUAAAAGACUAUGAUGAUGA
rnacentral:lncRNA from 1 species